rnacentral:lncRNA from 1 species
AUGAUGAGGGCUGCCUUACUGAAAGAUGUUCGACAGCUGUCUCCACAGCACCAGACCUUCUCCCUUGAGGCUUACCACUCCCUCAUCUUGCACUUCGCGCCCAAGCACACAGGGUUUUCAUACCUUGGGAUGUAUAGCAGGCUUCUCUUAGCGGCGCUGCAUUAUAAUCACAAUGCCAAUAGCGAGACAGCACGGAGAAGUGACGGGUCGGAGAAGUAAUGCGUGCGGUAUCCGCGCUUCAGAAAAGGUGCCCAUGUGGUGCGUCGCAUCAAAGAGGCAGCCUCAUACGGUAAGCAGUGUCAUGCAGUUCUAUCAUAUUUUGAGAUGGCGCACGAGACAUCGGUGAUCAGUGACAAUGAUCUUUAUAAAGUCAUAUUAUUAUUAUAAUUAAUAUUAUUAUUAUUAUGUCUGCAGGUUAUGCAACAUCAUUAAUGAAGGCCCUUCGGGAGAGCUACGCCAGUUCACCCGCGGUUCUUCGAGAGGUUAGCGCCAAUUCGUCCUCCGAUGCACCCGCCCCCAUCGCCAAAUCCUUCCAACAGAUUCCUAAGGAGGAGGCCGUCAGCCUCUACCUAGCCCGGCAGUCACGCUACAAGAAAACCUAAUUUCACAUUAUUAUUUUUUUCCACGGACAAGUCCAAUAAUUUAGUUGUUAUUAUUUGCAUGAAAUUUCUUUGUAUGUAAUUCAAAAUAAUUUGGCAAUCAUUUUACCUGUGCCUUGUCAACCUCUGUGUGCGGUGUUGUCUGGGCUCACUGUGUGUCUGCUUGAUGUGCUUUUGCAUGUAUGAAUGCAUGAAAUAGUGUGUGUGUGUGUGUGUGAGAGAAAGAGAACCAUCAACUGACCCUCGGGUAUGACCACACUAUUGCAGAAUUAAUUAGAAUUAGAAUUAAACAUUGCGGGUCUAGCCCUUCAGGGUUCCUUGUAUGUUUUGUGCCUAACCAUUUUUUUAUAUAGAUUUAAUUCCAACCUGUUUCUUUGUUCAGUAACCAUUACAAGCGAUGCCAAUAAACUUUUUUUUUAUCCAAAAUUCAUGUGUUCUGUGUACUUUAUAACAUUUUAAGGGCAAUUGAAUGAUCACAACAGAAUAGGCAUAACAAUUAUUUUUAUUCCUUUUCAUCCAAACAAGGCCAUUGAAAGCCCUGAUAGGUCUGGUCACCAUUCUGGAAUUGCUGCCUGAUGGUUGAAACCACACAAGAGGGUAGAGGCUUCCUUAUACUCCUCCCUGAAACGCCAUAAGCCCAGAGUAUAGCCUGCCUGUACACAGUGUACCGGUAUGGCCU